rnacentral:rRNA from 1 species
GACGGGGGGUGCGAGCGUUAAUCGGAUUUAUUGGGUGUAAAGGGGGCCUAGGCGGUCAAGUUAGUCAGAGGUGAAAGCUCCACGGCUCACCCGGGAAAUUGCCUUUGAUACUGCUUGACUCGAGUUCGGAGGAGGGAUGCGGAAUUCCGUGUGUAGCGGUGAAAUGCGUAGAUAUACGGAGGAACACCAGUGGCGAAGGCGGCAUCCUGGGCCGAUACUGACGCUGAAGCCCGAAAGCGUGGGGAGCGAACGGG